GACGAACGCUGGCGGUAUGCUUAACACAUGCAAGUCGAACGAGACGAGAUGGAAGGAUCCUUCGGGUGACGGAAAUCUUAGAAAGUGGCGAACGGGUGAGUAACGCGUGGGUAACCUGCCCUAUGGAAAGGAAUAGCCUCGGGAAACUGGGAGUAAUGCCUUAUAAGAUACAUUUGUCGCAUGGCAGAAGUAUUAAACGCUCCGGUGCCAUAGGAUGGACCCGCGUCCCAUUAGCUAGUUGGUGAGAUAACAGCCCACCAAGGCGACGAUGGGUAACCGGUCUGAGAGGGCGAACGGUCACACUGGAACUGAGACACGGUCCAGACUCCUACGGGAGGCAGCAGUGGGGAAUAUUGCGCAAUGGGGGCAACCCUGACGCAGCAAUACCGCGUGAGUGAAGAAGGUUUUCGGAUCGUAAAGCUCUGUUAUUGGGGAAGAAAAAGACGGUACCCAAGAAGAAAGUCCCGGCUAACUACGUGCCAGCAGCCGCCGUAA
rnacentral:rRNA from 1 species